rnacentral:rRNA from 1 species
CAUGCAAGUCGAGCGGAAACGAGUUAUCUGAACCUUCGGGGAACGAUAACGGCGUCGAGCGGCGGACGGGUGAGUAAUGCCUAGGAAAUUGCCCUGAUGUGGGGGAUAACCAUUGGAAACGAUGGCUAAUACCGCAUGAUGCCUACGGGCCAAAGAGGGGGACCUUCGGGCCUCUCGCGUCAGGAUAUGCCUAGGUGGGAUUAGCUAGUUGGUGAGGUAAGGGCUCACCAAGGCGACGAUCCCUAGCUGGUCUGAGAGGAUGAUCAGCCACACUGGAACUGAGACACGGUCCAGACUCCUACGGGAGGCAGCAGUGGGGAAUAUUGCACAAUGGGCGCAAGCCUGAUGCAGCCAUGCCGCGUGUGUGAAGAAGGCCUUCGGGUUGUAAAGCACUUUCAGUCGUGAGGAAGGUGGUGUAGUUAAUAGCUGCAUUAUUUGACGUUAGCGACAGAAGAAGCACCGGCUAACUCCGUGCCAGCAGCCGCGGUAAUACGGAGGGUGCGAGCGUUAAUCGGAAUUACUGGGCGUAAAGCGCAUGCAGGUGGUUUGU